GACCGGCGCGGCGCUAGCCUCGGGGCUUGACGGGAUUGUGGCGGUCCUCUCUCCCAAUUCGGAAGCUACAGCUACCUCCGGACGCUCUCAAGAUGGCGACCUCUCUGGGUUCCAACACCUACAACAGGCAGAACUGGGAGGAUGCGGACUUCCCCAUUCUGUGCCAGACAUGUCUUGGAGAAAACCCAUAUAUCCGAAUGACCAAAGAAAAGUAUGGGAAGGAAUGCAAAAUCUGUGCCAGGCCAUUCACAGUGUUUCGCUGGUGCCCUGGAGUCCGCAUGCGUUUCAAGAAGACUGAAGUGUGCCAAACCUGCAGUAAAUUGAAGAAUGUCUGUCAGACCUGCCUCUUAGACCUAGAGUAUGGCCUGCCCAUCCAGGUUCGUGACGCAGGAUUGUCUUUUAAAGACGACAUGCCAAAGUCAGAUGUCAACAAAGAGUACUAUACACAGAAUAUGGAGAGAGAGGUAUGCUGCCACUUUUUGGAUAAAAAUCCUAAUGAAUUGACACAGUCUGUAUAAUUUAUCUUUUGAAUUUGUCAUCCCCACUUAGAUUUCUAACUCUGAUGGAACACGGCCAGUUGGCAUGCUGGGGAAAGCCACAUCUACCAGUGACAUGCUGCUCAAACUGGCCCGGACCACACCCUACUACAAAAGGAAUCGA
rnacentral:sRNA from 1 species